GGGACAAGGUUUCCGUAGGUGAACCUGCGGAAGGAUCAUUAC
rnacentral:rRNA from 1 species